UUAAUUUAUCUCAAAUAAAUUAAAAUAAUGUUUUUAUGUCAUUAUUUGCACAGUGAAUUCUACAAUAGGACCAUCACCCACCCCAGCUAAUGAUUCUAAACCAGCAGAGAAUUCCACAGUUGGACCCUCGUCCACUCCAGCUAAUGAAUCUAAACCAGCAGAGAAUUCCACAGUUGGACCCUCACCCACCCCAGCUAAUGUAUCUCAACCAACAGAGAAUUCUACAGUUAGACCGUCACCCACUACAGUUACUGAACCUAAACCAAC
rnacentral:lncRNA from 1 species